rnacentral:lncRNA from 1 species
AUGCUUCCCGAGCUGACCACAGCGCAGCCACACCUGGAUUUCAACCAGUCAGCUGUUGAAGAGAUGGCAGGCAAUGAGUCUGGCAUGUUCUAUGGGAAGAAAACAGAAACACCUGCAGCUUGUCUGACUGAGGCAGAAGAAACUGAUGGGAACAAUGUUCGGAGGGAAUGACUGAUGAAUGCUUGAUGGUGCUGUUUCAAGAGGAGACCUGGACGUCGGAAACAAGGGAAACCAAGAAUGAUCUGGAUAAUGGAGAAACCUGUGAAUACAACUGGAUUUGAAUCACACUACUGGCUUCAAUUCACACAACCGGAUUGGGAUCCCACUGUGUAAUUUUAGGCAAGUUACUUUACCUCUCUAAACCUCAGUCUUCUUAUCUCUAAAAUAAGGAUAAUACGACUAUCCUGAAUGCUUAUUGUA